AGCGAACGCUGGCGGCAGGCCUAACACAUGCAAGUCGAACGAACCUUUCGGGGUUAGUGGCGGACGGGUGAGUAACACGUGGGAACGUGCCUUUAGGUUCGGAAUAACUUAGGGAAACUUGUGCUAAUACCGAAUGUGCCCUUCGGGGGAAAGCUUUAUCGCCUUUAGAGCGGCCCGCGUCUGAUUAGCUAGUUGGUUGAGGUAAUGUCUCACCAAGGCGACGAUCAGUAGCUGGUCUGAGAGGAUGAUCAGCCACAUUGGGACUGAGACACGGCCCAAACUCCUACGGGAGGCAGCAGUGGGGAAUCUUGCGCAAUGGGCGAAAGCCUGACGCAGCCAUGCCGCGUGAAUGAUGAAGGUCGUAGGAUUGUAAAAUUCUUUCACCGGGGACGAUAAUGACGGUACCCGGAGAAGAAGCCCCGGCUAACUUCGUG
rnacentral:rRNA from 1 species